rnacentral:rRNA from 1 species
GGUUAAGCGACUAAGCGUACACGGUGGAUGCCCUGGCAGUCAGAGGCGAUGAAGGACGUGCUAAUCUGCGAAAAGCGUCGGUAAGGUGAUAUGAACCGUUAUAACCGGCGAUGUCCGAAUGGGGAAACCCAGUGCAAUUCGUUGCACUAUCGUUAACUGAAUACAUAGGUUAACGAGGCGAACCGGGGGAACUGAAACAUCUAAGUACCCCGAGGAAAAGAAAUCAACCGAGAUUCCCCCAGUAGCGGCGAGCGAACGGGGAGCAGCCCAGAGUCUGAAUCAGCUUGUGUGUUAGUGGAACGGUCUGGAAAGUCCGACGGUACAGGGUGAUAGUCCCGUACACCAAAAUGCACAGGUUGUGAACUCGAAGAGUAGGGCGGGACACGUGGUAUCCUGUCUGAAUAUGGGGGGACCAUCCUCCAAGGCUAAAUACUCCUGACUGACCGAUAGUGAACCAGUACCGUGAGGGAAAGGCGAAAAGAACCCCGGCGAGGGGAGUGAAAAAGAACCUGAAACCGUGUACGUACAAGCAGUGGGAGCACCUUCGGGUGUGACUGCGUACCUUUUGUAUAAUGGGUCAGCGACUUAUAUUCUGUAGCAAGGUUAACCGUAUAGGGGAGCCGCAGGGAAACCGAGUCUUAACUGGGCGUUAAGUUGCAGGGUAUAGACCCGAAACCCGGUGAUCUAGCCAUGGGCAGGUUGAAGGUUGGGUAACACUAACUGGAGGACCGAACCGACUAAUGUUGAAAAAUUAGCGGAUGACUUGUGGCUGGGGGUGAAAGGCCAAUCAAACCGGGAGAUAGCUGGUUCUCCCCGAAAGCUAUUUAGGUAGCGCCUCGUGAAUUCAUCUUCGGGGGUAGAGCACUGUUUCGGCUAGGGGGUCAUCCCGACUUACCAACCCGAUGCAAACUACGAAUACCGAAGAAUGUUAUCACGGGAGACACACGGCGGGUGCUAACGUCCGUCGUGAAGAGGGAAACAACCCAGACCGCCAGCUAAGGUCCCAAAGUCAUGGUUAAGUGGGAAACGAUGUGGGAAGGCACAGACAGCCAGGAUGUUGGCUUAGAAGCAGCCAUCAUUUAAAGAAAGCGUAAUAGCUCACUGGUCGAGUCGGCCUGCGCGGAAGAUGUAACGGGGCUAAACCAUGCACCGAAGCUGCGGCAGCGACACUAUGUGUUGUUGGGUAGGGGAGCGUUCUGUAAGCCUGCGAAGGUGACCUGUGAGGGUUGCUGGAGGUAUCAGAAGUGCGAAUGCUGACAUAAGUAACGAUAAAGCGGGUGAAAAGCCCGCUCGCCGGAAGACCAAGGGUUCCUGUCCAACGUUAAUCGGGGCAGGGUGAGUCGACCCCUAAGGCGAGGCCGAAAGGCGUAGUCGAUGGGAAACAGGUUAAUAUUCCUGUACUUGGUGUUACUGCGAAGGGGGGACGGAGAAGGCUAUGUUAGCCGGGCGACGGUUGUCCCGGUUUAAGCAUGUAGGCUGGUUGUCCAGGCAAAUCCGGAUAAUCAAGGCUGAGGUGUGAUGACGAGGCACUACGGUGCUGAAGUAACAAAUGCCCUGCUUCCAGGAAAAGCCUCUAAGCAUCAGGUAACAUCAAAUCGUACCCCAAACCGACACAGGUGGUCAGGUAGAGAAUACCAAGGCGCUUGAGAGAACUCGGGUGAAGGAACUAGGCAAAAUGGUGCCGUAACUUCGGGAGAAGGCACGCUGGUGUGUAGGUGAAGUCCCUGCGGAUGGAGCUGAGACCAGUCGAAGAUACCAGCUGGCUGCAACUGUUUAUUAAAAACACAGCACUGUGCAAACACGAAAGUGGACGUAUACGGUGUGACGCCUGCCCGGUGCCGGAAGGUUAAUUGAUGGGGUUAUCCGUAAGGAGAAGCUCUUGAUCGAAGCCCCGGUAAACGGCGGCCGUAACUAUAACGGUCCUAAGGUAGCGAAAUUCCUUGUCGGGUAAGUUCCGACCUGCACGAAUGGCGUAAUGAUGGCCAGGCUGUCUCCACCCGAGACUCAGUGAAAUUGAACUCGCUGUGAAGAUGCAGUGUACCCGCGGCAAGACGGAAAGACCCCGUGAACCUUUACUAUAGCUUGACACUGAACAUUGAGCCUUGAUGUGUAGGAUAGGUGGGAGGCUUUGAAGCGUGGACGCCAGUCUGCGUGGAGCCAACCUUGAAAUACCACCCUUUAAUGUUUGAUGUUCUAACGUUGGCCCCUUACCGGGGUUGCGGACAGUGUCUGGUGGGUAGUUUGACUGGGGCGGUCUCCUCCCAAAGCGUAACGGAGGAGCACGAAGGUUAGCUAAUCCUGGUCGGACAUCAGGAGGUUAGUGCAAUGGCAUAAGCUAGCUUGACUGCGAGCGUGACGGCGCGAGCAGGUGCGAAAGCAGGUCAUAGUGAUCCGGUGGUUCUGAAUGGAAGGGCCAUCGCUCAACGGAUAAAAGGUACUCCGGGGAUAACAGGCUGAUACCGCCCAAGAGUUCAUAUCGACGGCGGUGUUUGGCACCUCGAUGUCGGCUCAUCACAUCCUGGGGCUGAAGUAGGUCCCAAGGGUAUGGCUGUUCGCCAUUUAAAGUGGUACGCGAGCUGGGUUUAGAACGUCGUGAGACAGUUCGGUCCCUAUCUGCCGUGGGCGCUGGAGAAUUGAGGGGGGCUGCUCCUAGUACGAGAGGACCGGAGUGGACGCAUCACUGGUGUUCGGGUUGUCAUGCCAAUGGCACUGCCCGGUAGCUAAAUGCGGAAGAGAUAAGUGCUGAAAGCAUCUAAGCACGAAACUUGCCCCGAGAUGAGUUCUCCCUGAGACUUUAAGUCUCCUGAAGGAACGUUGAAGACGACGACGUUGAUAGGCCGGGUGUGUAAGCGCAGCGAUGCGUUGAGCUAACCGGUACUAAUGAACCGUGAGGCUUAACCUU